GAGUUUGAUCCUGGCUCAGGACGAACGCUGGCGGCGUGCCUAAUACAUGCAAGUCGAACGAACGGAAGUUAGAACUUGUUCUAAUGGAAGUGAGUGGCGAACGGGUGAGUAACACGUGGGUAACCUACCUUUAAGCGGGGGAUAACAGUGGGAAACGACUGCUAAUACCGCAUAGGACAUAGCGUCACAUGACGCAGUGAGGAAAGACGGUUUCGGCUGUCACUUAGAGAUGGACCCGCGGUGCAUUAGCUAGUUGGUAAGGUAACGGCUUACCAAGGCGAUGAUGCAUAGCCGACCUGAGAGGGUGAUCGGCCACAUUGGGACUGAGACACGGCCCAAACUCCUACGGGAGGCAGCAGUAGGGAAUCUUCCGCAAUGGACGAAAGUCUGACGGAGCAACGCCGCGUGAGUGAAGAAGGUCUUCGGAUCGUAAAGCUCUGUUGUUAGAGAAGAAGAGUUAUGGGAGUAACUGCCCAUAAUG
rnacentral:rRNA from 1 species